rnacentral:pre_miRNA from 1 species
UGAUGGACGACGACGACGAUGGAGUUGACAACGAGAGAGAGCACGCUGGUCGGCGCUCAUGGAAGAUGGGGGUCCGCGGCUGCUUACUUGCGUGCUUCCCCUCGUUGUCACCCCUUCUCUCUUAGUGAUCUCAUCGC